ACAGCUUCUGUAACCCAAAAGUGUAUGGAUUAACUAUCCAGCCUCUAUCGGUUGUGCUAGCAAAGGUAUUCAUGAAUCCAAUCUAUCAAAGGGCUGAGAGAAAACCUGGCUCAAAAUGCCCCAGAAGAUUUUACCUCCAAAGUGGAAGUACAUCUCACAGUCUCACAGUUUCUUGCCUGAUGCCUUAACAACUACACCAAACUGGUUUUAACAGAAUACUGGCAGAACACAGAGGCACAAUGUGGUAGCAGCAGUACCAGACCAACUAUCUCCAAAAGCGUUUCAGUCCUGACAGGAUUUUUGUAAACAGGCUGAAAUUCAUGCCAACAUGAGAGAUGACUGCAGCAGCAUAAGACUGAAGAUAUACGUUUAGUUACAAAAACGGUUGCCGACUCUGUAAUAUGUUUAGGAUUGUACAUUGCAUAUUCUGUACUUUAUAACCUGAUUCUGGAACAAAAACCAAAUCUCCACAGAAUUGAACUUACGUGUACCUGAAUCAGAGGAUGAUGUUAACAAGGCCUUAACUUGGAAUAACAUCAAUUAUUGCUACUUUUCUCCUUCUGAUGCCAUGGCGCUAUAUUUAAGUUAUUAGGGAUGUAUAGAUGGAAAAUAUGGAGCUGUAAGCUGUAAGUUCCUACUGCCACUAGUUAUAUUCUACCAGGACAUCUGAAAGAACAUAGAAUUGGAAGUGCAGGAAUCCAAAUUUUCCCAACAGAAGGCUAUAUCCAAGCAGAGGAAUGCUAAUUGUGGUUAGUUAUUGGUUCUACUCUAAGACUGCUCUUUCUGUCAGUAGGACCUCUCCUAUUAUUCAAUUGACCUCUACCUUUUUGGAGCUUUAGACUACACUGACACACAUAGUUCUUUGAAUUAUUUAUCUGUGUUAUCACACAAUAACUUUCCAAAAGUGCUUUCUCCCCACUUGAAUAAAGUGAUGAGAUUAGCUAUUUCCAUACCUGAUGGUUAGAACUUUCAAAAAUGUUUACUCUUGAAGUGAAAGGAAAGCUUUUGAGG